CCUACGGGCGGCAGCAGUGAGGAAUAUUGGUCAAUGGCCGGAAGGCUGAACCAGCCAUGCCGCGUGAAGGUCAGUGCCCUAUGGGCGUUAAACUUCUUUUGUUCGGGAGCAAUAAUGGUCCCGUUUGGCCAGACGAGAUUCCCGUACUAAUCAGCAUCGGCUAACUCCGUGCCAGCAGCCGCGGUAAUACGGGGGAUGCAAGCGUUAUCCGGAUUUAGUGGGUUUAAAGGGUGCGUAGGCUGUGAGGUAAGUAAGCGGGGAAAUGCCCCCGAUCAACGGGUGGAAGUGCCAUUGAUACUGCCGUGCUGGAAUGCGGAUGCCGUGGGAGGAAUGUGUGGUGUAGCGGUGAAAUGCUUAGAUAUUGCGCAGAACUCCGAUUGCGAAGGCAGCAUACCGGCGGCGAUCUGACGCUGAGGCACGAAAGCGUGGGUAUCGAACAGGAUUAGAUACCCUUGUAGUC
rnacentral:rRNA from 1 species